GACAGAGGUUGCAAGCGUUGUUCGGAAUCACUGGGCGUAAAGGGCGCGUAGGUUGUUGAAUAUGUCUGAUGUGAAAGCCCUUGGCUUAACUGAGGAAGUGCAUCAGAAACUAUUUGACUGGAGUGCAGAAGAGGAUGGCGGAAUUCCCGGAGUAGCGGUGAAAUGCAUAGAUACCGGGAGGAACACCUGAGGCGAAGGCGGCCAUCUGGUCUGUAACUGACGCUGAAGCGCGAAAGCACGGGUAGCAAACAGG
rnacentral:rRNA from 1 species